CAAUUAAUGUUAAUAGUCAUCCGAACUUGAUUUUUUAUAUUUUGCUUCCUGAUCCAAAGAGAAGAAAAUCGGGGCUUUAUGCUUUAUAUAGAACUGAUUCAUCUUGCAAAAACAAACUUUGGUCGCAAAACAUGUCUAAAAUAUUAUGUACAAAAAAGUCAUUGCAAUAAACCUCAAGUUAUUCAAGUCAGUGAACAAAUAAGUACUGACAAUUCGUUGACUGGAGUGGAAGAUGUUAGUGUCUUGAACCAACAUGAAACAACAAGUUAACUUAGCUGAGAAUGAUGGUAGUUUAAAAAUAAUGCAGCAUUGGCUAGGAUUGUUCCUAGGUCACAAAAACAAUCUUACAAAUAGAGAGUUUCUGCUGUUGUCACUGGUUUUAGAGAGUACCUUCGUGAAUGAAGAUAAAAAGUCAUUCAUGUUAUUUUUUAAAAGCCAAGACAUAA
rnacentral:lncRNA from 1 species